rnacentral:rRNA from 1 species
UGAGGAAUAUUGGACAAUGGGCGCAAGCCUGAUCCAGCCAUGCCGCGUGCAGGAUGACGGUCCUAUGGAUUGUAAACUGCUUUUGUACAGGAAGAAACAUCCCGACGUGUCGGGACUUGACGGUACUGUAAGAAUAAGGAUCGGCUAACUCCGUGCCAGCAGCCGCGGUAAUACGGAGGAUCCAAGCGUUAUCCGGAAUCAUUGGGUUUAAAGGGUCCGUAGGCGGUCUGGUAAGUCAGUGGUGAAAGCCCAUCGCUCAACGGUGGAACGGCCAUUGAUACUGCCAGACUUGAAUUAUCAGGAAGGAACUAGAAUAUGUAGUGUAGCGGUGAAAUGCUUAGAGAUUACAUGGAAUACCAAUUGCGAAGGCAGGUUACUACUGGUGGAUUGACGCUGAUGGACGAAAGCGUGGUAGCGAACA